rnacentral:rRNA from 1 species
ACGAACGCUGGCGGCGUGCUUAACACAUGCAAGUCGAACGCUGAAGACCUGGCUUUUGUUGGGUUGGAUGAGUGGCGAACGGGUGAGUAACACGUGAGUAACCUGCCCUCUUCUUUGGGAUAACGCCCGGAAACGGGUGCUAAUACUGGAUAUUCACUGGCCUUCGCAUGGGGGUUGGUGGGAAGGUUUGUUCUGGUGGGGGAUGGGCUCGCGGCCUAUCAGCUUGUUGGUGGGGUGAUGGCCUACCAAGGCUUUGACGGGUAGCCGGCCUGAGAGGGUGACCGGUCACAUUGGGACUGAGAUACGGCCCAGACUCCUACGGGAGGCAGCAGUGGGGAAUAUUGCACAAUGGGCGAAAGCCUGAUGCAGCGACGCCGCGUGAGGGAUGGAGGCCUUCGGGUUGUAAACCUCUUUCGCUCAUGGUCAAGCCGCAACUGUGGGUUGUGGUGAGGGUAGUGGGUAAAGAAGCGCCGGCUAACUACGUG